CAAAUGAUCAGAUUCUGCAUGUACAUUGUCAAACUGGGCAACAAUCCGCUCAUUUGACAACCCCACCAAACAAACAAAUUGUUAUGUGUAUGGCCAGCUUAAGACCAAAGACUGCUGGCCACUAUUGUUCCUUCUCUCUUCUUCAUGAGGACCUUUCAAAUAGAUAAGUAUGUGUUUUGUAGAAUAUAUGUGUUCAGCACUGGAAGGAUUAUUGUUUUUAGAAGCCGUUGGGUUUUUGUCUUUUUAAAAGUUCACAUGGACUGAAUGAAUAUCACUUUUUAGGAAGUGGCUUUUGUCCACGAAUCGCCUCAAUCGUUUGUUGUGCGCUCCAUUCAUGUUUUUAAACAUUAUCGAAUAAAAGUGAUGGUUUUAACAACGCUGGUGCUCCGUGUCUAAGCAUUUUGGUCAGAUCAUUCAUGCUUCGGAAGCGGAUAAACGUAGCAGAACAGCAGAAUCUCCUUCAAGAACUAAACCCAUUGUACUCUACUGAGCCUGUCAUCUGCUUAUCAGCUCAUCCUUAGUGUAAACACGUGCCUUUCUGUCCUAUUCAGCUUGAACUGUUGCCUUCACACAGCAGCUGAUUUGUAUAAAAUAUAGAUGUGUUAGAUCUUGCGCAUUCAGCCAGAAAGAAAUUAGUGGUAACAU